rnacentral:lncRNA from 1 species
AUCUGAAGAAGUGAGGUUCUUACCCACAAAAGCUCAUGCUCCCAAUACUUCUGUUAGUCUUAAAGGUGCCACAGGACCCUCUGUUGCUAUGCUACAUAUGUGAGUCAUUCCCUCAAACAUCCUGCCUUGUAUCAGCACUUCCUCAUUUAAUGCAGGGAGUUGGUUCCAGUACUGCAUUCGAUUUUCAGCCUGCUUAAGCAAAGUAUCAAGAAAAUCCAGACACGUUUCCCAUGCUUAAGAGCAGGCUGGGAAUAUUGCCAAGUUUCAGUAUGGAGUGCUGAAUCAUCAGGGCUCUCUCAGAGAAGCCAGAUCUGGAGUUCUAUUUGUACGUUCACCGGUGAGUGCCCUGAAAGCCAAGCACUAAGGGUAAAACCACCCCAGCUAAUGGAGUGCAUGGUGGCAUUAAUGGAGUGAAGGGAUUCACAGUGACUGGGACACUGCAAAAAUGAACAGGGAAUAUGUCCUCUGGAUACUCUCCUACUCACUGCUGUGCUUUUUCCCUGGUGCUAUUCCCCAAGCAACCUUGUGCCACGCAGUCAGCGGAGACACCGUUAUUUUGCCCUGUGCCAUUAAGACUUCUGAAAAGCUGAACAUUUCCAAUUAUUCUAUAUACUGGCAGAUAAAUACAUCAGUGGUAGUGCAUUUGUUUUACCAUGGGGAGGACUUGUUGAAAGACCAGUCCAGAAGAUACCACAACAGAACCAGGCUCUUUUUGGAUCAGCUGGAGCGUGGUAACUUUUCUCUAAUGCUCUCUGGAGUUCAGCCUGCUGAUGAAGAUGUGUAUACCUGCAUCGCUAGAAACAAAGUGACCAAAACUAAGGACACGUAUAAAGUUAAACUCAACGUCUCACGUCAAACUCAGGGUGUAACAAAUUGUCCUGGGGAUGCAAACACCCUGGAUAUGCUUAUUCUCUGUUCUCACUUCCUGAUGGUGUUGGUGGUUUGGAUCUUGUAACUGUGAAAUCAGGGCUUUUGUCUGCAAAUUUCUCCUGGCAAGUGACUCUUGCAGCACAACACCCAUCUGUAAGGGUUGCACAACUACUAUUCCAGAAGCCACAAACAACAAGGCAUCACCACUUGAAAACUGGCCUUACAUUAAGCACCUAUAACCAUAGUUUGGUGCUCAAACAAGCAACCUUAUUUUUCAGAGGCACUGGCCAUCUGCAGGUCCAAGUGGCUUCAGUCAGAGGUAAUGAGCCUGAUUUUCCAUCCAUCUUCAAGAGCCUAGCGUUAGGCCUCCACAUUUGAAAAUUCUAACCCUACAAUUUGUGUGGUUUUUUUAUGACAAUUUUGAAUCCAAGUUCCAACUGAGGUUCACAAUGUUAUUAUAAUUGUCCUUAAUGUGAUCUUUCACAUGAAAGAUUGCAUGUGCUUUACAAAAAGGGGAAGUAAAAGAAGGAGAAAGCGUAGCUGUAUUAUACGUCAGAGAAAAACUGGAAGUUGUGGUGGUGGCUGCCUUUGCGAAAAUCAAGGGUGGAAACAUUGUGACAGGAAACUCGAGGCUGUGAACUAUGCCUGUGCCUCUUUUCAUUCUGAUGCAUCCAUUACAUCAUCAGUACAAAGAAAUCCAUUCAAUCAGCCAAAGGAGAAGUUGUUGUCAGAGGAUGUUAAAAAAAGCAAACAAUUCCAGAGGAAGAGUGCUGCAUACUACAAAUAAGCCAAAGACUUUGUUAGUUUCAGUCUUAUACUCUUCCCCAAAGAAAGUUAGAAGCAGCCAACUGAAAGGUACAGAACUGCUGUGCUACUUGGGUUAGGGUAUGUGCGAUUCUGCAACCUGUGAUGCGGAGUCACUAAAUUUAUAUAGGUUGUGUUUAUCACUCUGCAUUCCAUUUUUUGUUUAAAAUGUCCAUGGUUUAAGGAACUAAAACUAUCAUCUGUGUCUAUCGGGAUUGCAUUGCCUUACUCCUUAAAAUGCAAAAUGCAGAUAUAACUGAAGAUGUCUUGCCAUUGUUAAA